rnacentral:rRNA from 1 species
UGAAAUUCGCCUUCAUGAAGUCGGAAUUGCUAGUAAUGGCAGGUCAGCAUACUGCCGUGAAUACGUUCCCGGGCCUUGUACACACCGCCCGUCACACCAUGAGAGUUGGAGAUACCCGAAGCCUAUGAGCUAACUUUUAGAGGCAGUAGUCGAAGGUAGAAUCAAUGAUUGGGGUGAAGUCGUAACAAGGUAAC